UGUGGAAACAAAGACACCUACAUCUUGGAUGCACUUGAGGAGGGCUCUACCUUUGCCACGUCGAAGAAAAGCGGCAUCUCUGAAAUAAUUUAAGUCGCCCUUUUUUGAAAGCCCAGACAAGUUAAGAGAAUUCACAUCUAAGAUCAAAGCCGUGCGGUUGCAGUGCCACUGAAAUAAAUCUGCUGGGAUUCUCUCUUUUUUUUCCUUACACAAGAACAUCUCUAAUUUCAUCAGCUCUCCUGACUGACAAGCAUCAUUACGGAUAAAAUUAUCUUGGUAAUUAUCCUGCCGAAAAGAGAUUUAUUUCCCUUUGUGAGGAGGAGAUCCAUGGGGCCACGCAGUGAUCUGCAGCGUGGAGACGCUUCGUUAAAAUAAGCAUCCUAAUGAGACGAGCCCUCCUGCAGAGCGCCGAGGCCCAAGCGUUACGCCUAGCAGGAGCCGGAGCUUUUGUUCAGAUGUGCAUUAAGUAAGCGUGAACACGGUACCGUCUGAGUUUGGAGGACCACUUAUCGAGGAAUUCACAGUACGUAAUUAUCUUAAUUUGCACCCCGGAGCCAUAUCCGAUAUGACACCUUCCGCCCAUGACUACUCUGACGUAACUCACUCGUAGGCCCAGCCACGAAAAAGGGGUCAAGCUAUUGUUGGGAAGUGAGAUGAUUAACAGAGAGUUCAUUGACUGAGAUUGGAGAUAUUUAGUUUGCAAAACUUUGCCUGUAGAGAUACAGUUUUGAAAAUUCGACUAUUAACCUGCUUGAACCAGACUUGUGUUAACCUGCAGUGGUUUGUUGAAUUUAAAACCGUCGUGAACAGACGCUAUAUGAAUUUUCCAAUGAUGGAAUUCUUAGUAAAUCCCCCAUGGACGUUUACUUUUAGCUGAAGCAUUUAUCCAAGCAUUUAUUUAGCAGUUGAGAGGGGAUUUGAACUCACAACCCGCUGCUAGUGCCACCCUCUUCCAAAUGCAUUGGACGUAUUUUGACAUGGCACAAAAGUACAUGAGUGGGUUUGUGAUGGUAAGUCUCCCUUUCACUGUUGUUUGUGUGUUUGAUUUUCAUAAUAGAUCUUUAGCAAUUAUACAGGUUGAUUAAUUUUGCCAUUAAACUCGGAGUUUAGGUGAAGCUUAUGGGGAAACAAGCUCUUUACGAUAAUGAGCACCAGUGUUUGACGUAAUUAAGUGCACAACAAGUAGCCUCUUUUCCUAAUGGCUCUGCUAGUUAAGGGUCAUUGUCGAUAGAUAUAUUAUUAAAGACUGAAAGAACUUAACAGCCUGCAGGAGUUUCAGACAACUUUCAAGUCACAAGCAGGCUUUUAACCAGAAGCUGCCAUGCUGUAUCUUUUGGUAACGUUGUUGUUUGCAGUUAGAGUACUGAUGGACUAAGAUAAUCUUUAACAUAAGCAAGGUAAGAAGUGCCCCAUUAUGCUAUUUUAAAGGAUCCUAAUUUUGUUUUCAAGGUUUGCUAUAAUAAGCUUACAUGCAUACAAGAUCAAAAAACGCUUUCAUUUUCUCAUGAAUAAAAACGUUUCUGAAAAAGUCAGAAAACAGUCUUUCAAAACCCCUCCUUUCCAAAACUCUGCUCUGAUUGGUCAGACGGCCCUGUCGUGAUUGGUCGACCACUUACUGCACCCGCUGCAAUGAAAUGGCUAUUACCAUAUCUGAUUUUUAGCUCCAGAGGCUUCCUCGGCGCUUGAUACUUAGUGAUACAAACAAGAUUUUUUCCAUAUUAAUUCCAGUGCGUUGUCCUUAGACAUUCCCUGUUUUAUGUAACAGGAAGCGAGACUGGAAUUGACUUGUUUCGCCAAUUCAGAAUCGAUUCUUUCGUUUUGGAGACAAUAACUUUAUUUGUCGGUCACCUUGAUUUUUAAAACUAUACAGACAUUUCACAUUCACAAACAGCUAUAUUACACACAUGAAAAGAUAAUGCUCGAAAAGUUAUAAUAUAAUAGGGUAUAAUAAUAAUACUUUAUUUUAAGGUAUCCUUGUUUCAAUGUCAUCACUAAUUAUUAAUACA